rnacentral:rRNA from 1 species
AGAGUUUGAUCCUGGCUCAGGACGAACGCUGGCGGCGUGCCUAAUACAUGCAAGUCGAAGGUCUUUUCUAUGGAAGCUUGCUUCCACUGAGAAGAUAGUGGCGAACGGGUGAGUAACAGUGGGUAACCUGCCCAUAAGAGGGGGAUAACAUCCGGAAACGGGUGCUAAUACCGCAUAUUUUCUUGAUCGCAUGAUUGAGAAAGGAAAGACGGCCUUUGUGCUGUCGCUUAUGGAUGACCCGCGGCGUAUUAGUUAGUUGGUGAGGUAACGGCUCACCAAGACGAUGAUACGUAGCGACCUGAGAGGGUGAUCGGCCACAUUGGGACUGAGACACGGCCCAAACUCCUACGGGAGCAGCAGUAGGGAAUCUUCCGCAAUGGACGAAAGUCUGACGGAGCAACGCCGCGUGAGUGAGAAGGUUUUCGGAUCGUAAAACUCUGUUGUCAGAGAAGAACAAGUUGGAGAGUAACUGUCCAGCCUUGACGGUAUCUGACCAGAAAGCCACGGCUAACUACGUGCCAGCAGCCGCGGAAUACGUAGGUGGCAAGCGUUGUCCGGAUUUAUUGGGCGUAAAGCGAGCGCAGGCGGUUCUUAAGUCUGAUGUGAAAGCCCACGGCUCAACCGUGGAAGGUCAUUGGAAACUGGGGAAUUGAGUGCAGAAGAGGAGAGUGGAAUUCCAUGUGUAGCGGUGAAAUGCGUAGAUAUAUGAGGAACACCAGUGGCGAAAGCGACUCUCUGGUCUGUAACUGACGCUGAGGCUCGAAAGCUGGGGAGCAAACAGGAUUAGAUACCCUGGUAGUCCACGCCGUAAACGAUGAGUGCUAAGGUUGGAGGGUUUCCACCCUUCAGUGCUGCAGCUAACGCAUUAAGCACUCCGCCUGGGGAUACGGCCGCAAGGCUGAAACUCAA